CGAGGGGCUGCCCAUCCACCCUGUGGGCUCCUCCUUACCCUGCCACAGUGCCCUCUGGUCUUCUACACAAGGACGCCACAGACAUGCAUCUCCUCAGUGUUCCUUUGACUGUUUGGGACCACGCUGUCCAAAAUUUAACACACAUAAGGAUGUUCUGGCUGACUAACGUUCUCUUUUCAGAUUCACUUGGACAUGGUUCUCCAGUGCUUCUUGGCUCUCAUUACAGCGGAAUGUGCUUGUGAGUUGUCCAACAGCUGCCACAUCCUUGUUAAGUGACACUCAAAGAAGAUUGGCCCUGAGGGAUUACUAGGCUGUCCUCCGUCCACCCCAAGCCUGGAUCACCCUCUCUCCCUCCUG